rnacentral:rRNA from 1 species
UACGUAGGGCGCAAGCGUUGUCCGGAAUUAUUGGGCGUAAAGAGCUCGUAGGCGGUCUGUUACGUCCGCUGUGAAAACCCAGGGCUUAACCCUGGGCUUGCAGUGGAUACGGGUAGACUAGAGGCAGGUAGGGGAGAAUGGAAUUCCCGGUGUAGCGGUGAAAUGCGCAGAUAUCGGGAGGAACACCGGUGGCGAAGGCGGUUCUCUGGGCCUGACCUGACGCUGAGGAGCGAAAGCGUGGGGAGCGAACAGGAUUAGAUACC